rnacentral:misc_RNA from 1 species
GGAAACCGUACAUUCCAUCCAUAUUAAAAGUCGUUUCUGCUCCCUCUAGAAUGAAGAAAAGAAAAGAAAAGGAAACAAACUAACAAGUGAUUCGAUGGAGAGCUGAAGUUUAUGUAAGGAGAGAAGCUUUUUUUCUUUUAAUUUAUUUUUCUAACAUCUAAAAAUUUAGAGCAAUAGGAAGAAGAUGUGAGGUGGUGUGGCUUUUGCUGGAAUUCAAGGAGCAGAGAGGAACUGAAAGUGGUGUGAUGG